rnacentral:rRNA from 1 species
CAGGCUUAACACAUGCAAGUCGAGGGGCAGCAUGGUCUUAGCUUGCUAAGGCCGAUGGCGACCGGCGCACGGGUGAGUAACACGUAUCCAACCUGCCGUCUACUCUUGGACAGCCUUCUGAAAGGAAGAUUAAUACAAGAUGGCAUCAUGAGUCCGCAUGUUCACAUGAUUAAAGGUAUUCCGGUAGACGAUGGGGAUGCGUUCCAUUAGAUAGUAGGCGGGGUAACGGCCCACCUAGUCUUCGAUGGAUAGGGGUUCUGAGAGGAAGGUCCCCCACAUUGGAACUGAGACACGGUCCAAACUCCUACGGGAGGCAGCAGUGAGGAAUAUUGGUCAAUGGGCGAGAGCCUGAACCAGCCAAGUAGCGUGAAGGAUGACUGCCCUAUGGGUUGUAAACUUCUUUUAUAAAGGAAUAAAGUCGGGUAUGGAUACCCGUUUGCAUGUACUUUAUGAAUAAGGAUCGGCUAACUCCGUGCCAGCAGCCGCGGUAAUACGGAGGAUCCGAGCGUUAUCCGGAUUUAUUGGGUUUAAAGGGAGCGUAGAUGGAUGCUUAAGUCAGUUGUGAAAGUUUGCGGCUCAACCGUAAAAUUGCAGUUGAUACUGGAUAUCUUGAGUGCAGUUGAGGCAGGCGGAAUUCGUGGUGUAGCGGUGAAAUGCUUAGAUAUCACGAAGAACUCCGAUUGCGAAGGCAGCCUGCUAAGCUGCAACUGACAUUGAGGCUCGAAAGUGUGGGUA